rnacentral:rRNA from 1 species
UGGGGAAUAUUGCACAAUGGGCGCAAGCCUGAUGCAGCCAUGCCGCGUGUGUGAAGAAGGCCUUCGGGUUGUAAAGCACUUUCAGCGAGGAGGAAGGUGGUGAGCUUAAUACGCUCAUCAAUUGACGUUACUCGCAGAAGAAGCACCGGCUAACUCCGUGCCAGCAGCCGCGGUAAUACGGAGGGUGCAAGCGUUAAUCGGAAUUACUGGGCGUAAAGCGCACGCAGGCGGUUUGUUAAGUCAGAUGUGAAAUCCCCGGGCUCAACCUGGGAACUGCAUUUGAAACUGGCAAGCUAGAGUCUCGUAGAGGGGGGUAGAAUUCCAGGUGUAGCGGUGAAAUGCGUAGAGAUCUGGAGGAAUACCGGUGGCGAAGGCGGCCCCCUGGACGAAGACUGACGCUCAGGUGCGAAAGCGUGGGGCAGCAAACAGGAUUAGAUACCCUGGUAGUCCACGCUGUAAACGAUGUCGAUUUUGGAGGUUGUGCCCUUGAGGCGUGGCUUCCGGAGCUAACGCGUUAAAUCGACCGCCUGGGGAGUACGGCCG